UUUUAAGCUACUAAGGGCUUGCGGUGGAUGCCUUGGCACCAAGAAGCGAAGAAGGACGCGGAUAACUGCGAUAAGCCUCGGUAAGCCGUAACAGGCGUUAAAGCCGGGGGUCUCCGAAUGGGGCAACCCACCAAUUUAUUGGUAUCCUGUGAUGAAUUCAUAGUUACAGGAAGCAAACCAGGGGAAGUGAAACAUCUCAGUACCCUGAGGAAAAGAAAUCAAUCGAGACUCCGCUAGUAGUGGCGAGCGAAAGCGGAUCAGCCCAAACCUCGUUCAAGAAAUUGAAUGGGGGGUUGUGGGACUUCAAUGUGAGACUCGAGAGUCUAGUAGAACGUUCUGGAAAGUUCGGCCAAAGAAGGUGACAGCCCUGUAAACGAAAGACUCAAAAGCUCUAGAAGUAUCCCGAGUACCACCGGACACGUGUAAUCCGCUGGGAAUCCGGGGCGACCACGCUCCAAGGCUAAGUAUUACUUGGUGACCGAUAGCGCAUAGUACCGUGAGGGAAAGGUGAAAAGAACCCCGAGCAGGGGAGUGAAAUAGAUUCUGAAACCGCAAGCCUACAAGCAGUGGGAGCACUAUGUGUCUGACACAUGUGUUACCGCGUACCUUUUGCAUAAUGAGCCAGCGAGUUAUUUUUGCGUGCAAGGUUAAGCCGUAGCAGGUGUAGCCGUAGCGAAAGCGAGUCUGAAAUGGGCGUUUAGUACGUAGAGAUAGACCCGAAACCCGGUGAUCUAUCCAUGGCCAGGGUGAAGCGCGGGUAAUACCGCGUGGAGGCCCGAACAAGUGGAAGUUGAAAAUUCCUUUGAUGAGCUGUGGAUAGGGGUGAAAGGCCAAUCAAACCGGGUGAUAGCUGGUUCUCUCCGAAAUAUAUUUAGGUAUAGCGUCGAGUAAAUUUUAUCGUGGAGGUAGAGCACUGAAUGGGCUAGGGGUCUUUACCAGAUUACCAAACCCAACCAAACUCCGAAUGCCAUUGAUAAUUACCUCGGCAGGCAGUCACUGGGUGAUAAGGUCCAGUGACGAGAGGGAAAGAGCCCAGACCGUCAGCUAAGGUCCCAAAAUGCAUGCUAAGUGGAGAACGUUGUGGAGUUACUGAGACAACCAGGAGGUUGGCUUAGAAGCAGCAAUCCUUUAAAGAAAGCGUAAUAGCUCACUGGUCUAGUGACUCUGCGCGGAAAAUAUAACGGGGCUCAAGCAUGUUACCGAAGCUACGGAUGUUCAGAAAUUUUUCUGAACGUGGUAGGAGAGCGUUCUAGUGUAGGCUGAAGGUCAAUCGUGAGGAUGGCUGGACGAACUAGAAGUGAUCAUGUUGGCGUAAGUAGCGUUCAAAUACAGGUGAAAAACCUGUACGCCGUAAACUCAAGGGUUCCAGGGCAAGGAUAAUCCUCCUAUGGGUUAGUCGAGACCUAAGAUGAGGCCAUAUGGCGUAAUCGAUGGAAACACGGUUAAUAUUCCGUGACUGCUAAUAGCGUAGCGCAGGAGGGACGGAGUAGGAUAGCUCGGGCCUUUAUUGGUUCUGGGUUCAAAGCUGUAGGUGGUCGUGUAGGCAAAUCCGCACGGCAACACUGAGGCCGAGAAAAUGGGUCUUUUGACCUAAAUUUGAGCAAUUCCAUGCUUCCAAGAAAAGCUUCGGCGUGUUUUCUAUUAGUACUCGUACCGUAAACCGACUCAGGUGAGUGGGAUGAAUAUUCUCAGGCGAUUGGGUUAAAUCUGCUUAAGGAACUCGGCAACUUAACACCGUAACUUCGGGAUAAGGUGUGCCUAACCUCGUUAGGGGUGGCCGCAGAGAAAUGGGAGUAGCGACUGUUUAUCAAAAACACAGAUAUGUGCUAAGUCACAAGACGACGUAUACAUAUUGACGCCUGCCCGGUGCUGGAAGGUUAAGAGGAGUGGUUAGCGUAAGCGAAGCCGCGAAUCGAAGCCCCAGUAAACGGCGGCCGUAACUAUAACGGUCCUAAGGUAGCGAAAUUCCUUGUCGGGUAAGUUCCGACCUGCACGAAUGGCGUAACGACUUCUCCGGUGUCUCAAGCAGAUGCCCAGCGAAUUCGAAUUCUCGGUGAAAAUGCCGGGUACCCGCAGAAAGACGGAAAGACCCCGUGAACCUUUACUGUAGCUUGGCAGUGAACUUAGAGACUCUAUGUGUAGGAUAGGUGGGAGCCUUUGAAGCCUGGCCGCUAGGUCAGGUGGAGGCAACCUUGAAAUACCACCCUUAGUGUCUUUGAGUUCUAACCUGCGGCCUAACCGGCCGAGGGACACUGUCUGGUGGGCAGUUUGACUGGGGCGGUCGCCUCCCAAAGAGUAACGGAGGCGUACGAAGGUCCGCUCAGCCUGAAUGGAAACCAGGCGUCGAGUGCAUUGGCAUAAGCGGGCUUAACUGCGAGACAAACAAGUCGAGCAGGUGCGAAAGCAGGUCAAAGUGAUCCGGUGGUCCCGCGUGGAAGGGCCAUCGCUCAACGGAUAAAAGGUACUCCGGGGAUAACAGGCUUAUCUCCCCCAAGAGUUCACAUCGACGGGGAGGUUUGGCACCUCGAUGUCGGCUCAUCACAUCCUGGGGCUGGAGCAGGUCCCAAGGGUUUGGCUGUUCGCCAAUUAAAGUGGUACGCGAGCUGGGUUCAGAACGUCGUGAGACAGUUUGGUCCUUAUCUUCUGUGGGCGGAGGAAAUUUGAGGAGACCUGUCCUUAGUACGAGAGGACCGGGAUGGACGAACCUCUGGUGUUCCAGUUGUCGUGCCAACGGCACAGCUGGGUAGCUACGUUCGGAAUGGAUAACCGCUGAAAGCAUCUAAGCGGGAAGCCAACUCCAAGAUGAGAUUUCCCUAAGCUUCGGCUUCUAAAGACUCCUGGGAGACUACCAGGUUGAUAGGCGGAAGGUGUACGCAGAGUAAUCUGCUCAGCUGAUCCGUACUAAUAGUCGUGCGGCUUUUUUUA
rnacentral:rRNA from 1 species